UUAUAUGCUGAUUUGGUGCCCACGAAACAUUUCUUCUUAUUAUCAACAGUUGCGCUGCUUUUUUCUGCUUCUAAUAUUUUUGUGCAAUCUGCCCCCCCCCCCCCCCCCGUACGGUCCUAGGACUCCUGUGAUAGAAAUAAAAACUAUAUUCUCAACAGCUGCCCAACCUACACAUACAGCCCAGACUGUUACUUCACAAUCUACUCAAACUGAAAUUCAACCUAUAACUAAUGCCCAAUCCACAAUUAUUACACCACAACUUGUAACAGUUACAACCCAGCCUAUAUUCUCAACAACUGCCCACCCUGUAACUAUUUCACAACCUACACAAACUGCAAUCCCACCUAUAACUACAGCUACAUCUCAACCCAACUCAGAAAUAACCCAACCUCAGAGUACAAAAACAGUUGCAAUCCAGUCUACAAUUAUAACUCAAGCGACAUUUACCACAACUGCAAAUGGUACCAAGAAAGUCCAGACCACAACUACAUCCCAACCUAUAUCAACUACAAUCCAGUCCACGACAACAUCAAACCCUGCAACAGCUACAACAGUUAAACUGUCAACAAUUACAACCCAGCAGAUUACAACAGCUACAACUGAGACUAGAACAACUCACUUGGCGGCAUCAAUGCAAUUGACAACAAAUUCACUCCAACCUACCAGUACAAUUCAUGCAGCAUCUGUAUCUGAAAGCAAAUCUACCACUACAACCCAAACUAUAACUCUUACAGUCCCACCCACCACAAUUACAACUCAGUCUACAGCUGCAACUACAUCCCAACUACAUUCCAAACCAACCUUUACAAACCAAAUGACAACACAACAACUUUCAAUUGGUACAACCCAGUUUAUAUCUGCCGCAACCCAACCUACAACAAAUGCAACCCAGCCUUCAACCCCACCUGUAUCCCCUGCUCCAACUCUAACACACACUUCAACCCAGCCUACAACUUCAACUAUACCUGCACCUACAACCCAACCAAAAACAACUGCAACCAACCCUAUAUCUACAACUACUGCCGUAACUACAAGAACAAACCAUCUUGCCAUCACAACUACAACCACACCUUUACUUGAAACAACAGCACCGCUCACAACUACAGUGGAAGUCAGAUUUUCCAGCUCAGAAAUGUUUGAUUCUUUACUGUCUGACAAAAAUUCAGAUAUCUAUAAAAAACGAGAAGAAAGAGUCAAAAAGGAGUUUGUGCCGAUCUUUAAAAAAGAGUUCCCGUCCUUCUUCAGACUGACAGUGAUUAGAUUCAUAGAAGGAUCAGUGAUCACAGAUAUGAAUUUGGAAUUCAGGAAAGACACUCUUUUGCCAGAUGACAAUGAGAUAAUACGUACUAUCACCAGUGCCAAUACUACAUUUAAUAUCACCAGAGCAGAAGGUAAAGCCAGUCAGUUAAAAAUAAAACAGCUUGAGGUGAGUCUUAAACAACAGAAACUUUUUUUGCGGAUGUAG
rnacentral:lncRNA from 1 species